CUAAGUGGAAAAGAGAUGGAGACACACGGUGCCAUGGCAACUCCAGGUGGGAGUUGACCCUGGAGACAGGUGUCUACGAGUGGCCAGAUUGUCCCACGCAAGUGCGCUGGAGGAUGUAAGGCCAUAAAUGCAAGAUGUGAGUGACUUCUGACUGAAGCUAAGCACACUCAACAAACCCAGCUGCAGUGGAAUGUGGACUAUAAUAAGUCUGAUUGUUUAUAUUCAGAAGGAAAUAGCUACAGAAGAAAUCAGGAGCAUUUUAUUCCAUCAGGGAGGACCCAGCAGAGAACUCUGCUGCUCCAGGAUGCAGGCCCUGGGCAACCAUUCAAGGAUGGCACCCAAGAUGGGACAGAGCUGCUCUGGAAAGGUCUCUGGCCAGCAGUGUGAGAGGAUGGACUGAGGUGGAGGCUACCACAGGGAUGGAGGAGUCUUAGAACCUGCUCCAAAUGAAGUAUGGAUAUUAUGUCCAGAUGCUACCCAGGGGCUGAAUCAUGGGAAUCAGGGAAGAACAGACAGAGAACUUCAAUUCACAGCAUUCGUCCAGGC
rnacentral:lncRNA from 1 species